rnacentral:rRNA from 1 species
CCUACGGGCGGCAGCAGUGGGGAAUAUUGGACAAUGGGGGGAACCCUGAUCCAGCCAUGCCGCGUGUGUGAAGAAGGCCCUCGGGUUGUAAAGCACUUUCAGUGAGGAAGAACGCCUGGUGGUUAAUACCCAUCAGGAAAGACAUCACUCACAGAAGAAGCACCGGCUAACUCCGUGCCAGCAGCCGCGGUAAUACGGAGGGUGCGAGCGUUAAUCGGAAUUACUGGGCGUAAAGCGCGCGUAGGUGGCUUGAUAAGCCGGUUGUGAAAGCCCCGGGCUCAACCUGGGAACGGCAUCCGGAACUGUCAAGCUAGAGUGCAGGAGAGGAAGGUAGAAUUCCCGGUGUAGCGGUGAAAUGCGUAGAGAUCGGGAGGAAUACCAGUGGCGAAGGCGGCCUUCUGGACUGACACUGACACUGAGGUGCGAAAGCGUGGGUAGCAAACAGGAUUAGAUACCCAGUAGUC